rnacentral:tRNA from 1 species
UGUGUAUUAUUUUAAGUAGAAUAUUUGUUUUUGAUACAAAAGGUUUUAUACACAU